CCAGACUCCUACGGGAGGCAGCAGUGGGGAAUAUUGCACAAUGGGGGGAACCCUGAUGCAGCGACGCCGCGUGGGUGAAGGAGCACCUCGGUGCGUAAAGCCCUAUCGGCAGGGAAGAAACAGACGGUACCUGACUAAGAAGCCCCGGCUAACUACGUGCCAGCAGCCGCGGUAAUACGUAGGGGGCAAGCGUUAUCCGGAUUUACUGGGUGUAAAGGGAGCGUAGACGGCAGUGCAAGUCUGGAGUGAAAGGCGGGGGCUCAACCCCCGGACUGCUCUGGAAACUGCCUGACUGGAGUGCUGGAGAGGCAAGCGGAAUUCCUAGUGUAGCGGUGAAAUGCGUAGAUAUUAGGAGGAACACCAGUGGCGAAGGCGGCCUGCUGGACGACAACUGACGGUGAGGCGCGAAAGCGUGGGGAGCAAACAGGAUUAGAUACCCGGGUA
rnacentral:rRNA from 1 species